rnacentral:sRNA from 1 species
GCGUUCUUCAAGCGAACUUGGGAUAGUGGGAGCCAAGUAGGGCAAAAUAAAGAACUGGCGCUUUCUGUAAUAUUUUUAAAAACAAAUGAAGUAAUAAAUUAGGGUGGAACCGCGUUUCUGACG